GGUUAAAAAGCUCGUAGUUGGAUUUCUGUUGAGGGCGACCGGUGUACACCUCGUGUAUUAUUUGGUUCGGUCUCGGCAUCCUCUUGGGGAACGUUUCUGGACUUUAUUGGACAGGGCGAGAUUCAAGACUUUUACUUUGAGGAAUAGAGUGUUCACGGCAGGCAAGCGCUUUGAAUACAUAGCAUGGAAUAAUAAUAUAGGACCUUCGUUCUAUUUUGUUGGUUUCUAGAACUUAGGCAAUGAUUAAUAGGGACAAUUGGGGGCAUUCGUAUUAACGCGUCAGAGGUGGAAUUCUUGGAUUGCGUUACGACGAACUACUGCGAAAGCAUUUGCCAAAGAUGUUUUCAUUGAUCAAGAACGAAAGUAUGGGGAUCGAAGACGCUUAGAUACCGUCGUAGUCUAUACCAUAAACUAUGCCAACUAGAGAUUGGUGGGGUUCUCCUAUUUGGCUCCAUCAGCAUCUUAUGAGAAAUCAAAGUCUUUGGGUUCCGGGGGGAGUAUGGCCGCAAGGCUGAAACUUAAAGGAAUUGACGGAAGGGCACCACCAGGAGUGGAGCCUGCGGCUUAAUUUGACUCAACACGGGAAAACUUACCAGGUCCAGACAUAGUAAGGAUUGACAGAUUGAUAGCUCUUUCUGAU
rnacentral:rRNA from 1 species